UACAUCUGUAAGGGGUGCUCACUAAAGUGGGCUGAGAAGUGGCUAUGUGCUACUAACCCAUAACCUGAUUUGGAUAAUGCCAACGUAGGGAUAUAUUAGUAUAUUUUU
rfam:Veillonella sp. oral taxon 780 str. F0422 ctg1127947897839, whole genome shotgun sequence.